rnacentral:ncRNA from 1 species
UAUACCUUUGUGGUGCGGGCAGAGGAGCAAUUUUAUUUUUAUUUUUCUUGACUUAAUUUUCCUUUUCUUUUAAGUCUCCUCUAUAUAUUUUGUCCCUAUCUACUAUCUAGCGAAACCACAGCCAAGGGAACGGGCUUGGAAAAAUCAGCGGGGAAAGAAGACCCUGUUGAGCUUGACUCUAGUCUGACUCUGUGAAGAGACAUGAGAGGUGUAGCAUAAGUGGGAGGCCGUGAACCCUCGCGGUUGUGU